rnacentral:rRNA from 1 species
AACCGGAUUAGAUACCCUGGUAGUCCACGCCCUAAACGAUGUCUACUAGUUGUCGGGUUUUAAUUAACUUGGUAACGCAGCUAACGCGUGAAGUAGACCGCCUGGGGAGUACGGUCGCAAGAUUAAAACUCAAAGGAAUUGACGGGGACCCGCACAAGCGGUGGAUGAUGUGGAUUAAUUCGAUGCAACGCGAAAAACCUUACCUACCCUUGACAUGUACGGAAGGCCGAAGAGAUUUGGCUGUGCUCGAAAGAGAGCCGUAACACAGGUGCUGCAUGGCUGUCGUCAGCUCGUGUCGUGAGAUGUUGGGUUAAGUCCCGCAACGAGCGCAACCCUUGUCAUUAGUUGCUACAUUUAGUUGAGCACUCUAAUGAGACUGCCGGUGACAAACCGGAGGAAGGUGGGGAUGACGCCAAGUCCUCAUGGCCCUUAUGGGUAGGGCUUCACACGUCAUACAAUGGUACAUACAGAGGGCCGCCAACCCGCGAGGGGGAGCUAAUCCCAGAAAGU